GAAAUCUUGCAUGUUGAACCUUGGAAAUUGCUAAGUGUUUUCAAGUUGAUUUUGUCAUUUCAGCAGAAUGGUCUUUUCUUGAUAUAAUGAGAACUUUUUCUUAGUGUUCUGUUUCUUGCUAUAGCGAAAAUCAUUCUCGCUCUAGCAAAAAUUCAUUCUCGCUGCAACAUAACAGAGAUUAGUCAUUUCGCUUGACUUGUUUGAAUGCUACUAAAGUUUUCACUCUUCAAAUUCUUUGUUAUGCAUGGAUCCUUCAUCAUCAAGUGAUUAACCAAUUAAGGGUUUAAUGAGGGGUUUUAAUAAG
rnacentral:lncRNA from 1 species